GAUGAGCAGACGACAGACGGAAGGCCUGUGCAUUGGGGGUGGAAUAAGGAAGGGGGAAAGUGUGACUAUUGUUAUUUUUAGCAUUGACACUUGUUUUAACUAGUUUAGUUUUUUGUUUUUGUUUUUUUCUUGCAAUUCCGGAAUCGUUGCUGACUUAUGAUAAGUUAAAAAGACAUCACAUUUUGUGAGCGACUCAAAUCUUAAUGCCAAGAAACUUAAGUUUAGAGAUUUAAUUCAUUUUGCCUGUGACAUUAAUAGUACAUUGAAGAACGUGGUCGAGAUUGCCGUGGAGCCGCUCCACAAUGAGCAUGUGUCACUAGUUUCGAUUUUCAUUGUCCAGAGCAUGUGUUGCCUCAGCCUUUUGGAGUGAGUUAGUGACCAGUUAUCUGUGCUGAGUAGCCCUGACCGUACAACACCCUCCCCACAGUGUCACUUUUGAUGUGCAGACUGAAAGGAAGUGAAAUCCUUUAACAAGUUUCACGUCUGCUCAGAUUUCUAAGUCUCGCAUCCAGGAACAUAACAAUAACGGAAGCACAAUUGGAGCAUUUAAUGAGAUCUACAUUCUUCGUGAGAAUAGAAAAAUAGAACGUGAACAAAAAAUUAAUUUAACAUUUGCAAGCUUACAGAAAGACGAUCAUGUCCUUCAGAGCAGUAUACUCCAUGGAGAGACUCGAACAAAACUAUUAGGAGAGCUGCCUGGUCAAAAAACCACUGCCCAGUUCCUCUCAGAUAUAGGACAAGUUGUCUGAACCCUCCGACAUGCAGAAGAAGAAGAAGAAAGGACAAACAUAAAAAGACGCUUCACUUGUCACCAAUAACAACGGAAGCUGUUUGAGAAAAUUGUGUGGCAUGCCUUUUACUUAACGAGAAUUUUCUGUGUACCGACUGCCCAACCUGGCCACAUUUACCUCUGUAUUUUUUUUUUAACUUACAUUCAGAAGAUUUCACAGCUUCAUACACCAGUCCAAUUUUUUUUCAUCACCCCCCCCUUUUUUUUUUCCCGCUCCUCCCAAUGACAAGUCCUUCAUCCGGUUAACAAAAAAAAAUGGUGUGGGAGGAGGGAGUUUAUCAGCUUUCCAGCACUGGUUGGCAGAAAACCUAAGAUUGGGCCCGGGGAGAGGGGAGGUUGGGUUAAUUUAUCAGUUUUCCAGCACUGAACGUAGUAUCGCAUUAAAGGGAACAUUUAUUUAAUAACAUUACUGUACUACAAAACCCCUUCCUGCUCGCAUGUUACACAAAGACGAAAGACGCGAGGAGAAUAGUUACGGGGCUAAGGCAUCAAGAGCCAUAGACAGGGGAGAUGACUAAUUACUAUGUUGGGGUCUCCUUCAAACGAGGUUACGGUCAGUUUCAGCACUCAGUGCCUACACUCUCAUUUCAGUCCACUCCUAGCAAUGCCCAAUUCAGCUCAAUCGUCUCACGAGCUCUUGAGAAAACGAUUGAAAAUCUGAUUGGCUCAGGUCUUCAAUCGUUGAAAUUACCGUCGAUUCAAUCCCAGCAAUCAUUGUCUUAGAAUUCAAAGGGACACAACCUACACACUUCAAAAAUAAAUUUCGUAUUUCCCCCCAAUUUUUGGGGUUGGAUUACCAAGAUCAUUCAAUCAGAUGAACAAUUGUCCAUGUAGUAUCUCAUCUAUUUGUUCAUGUAGUAUCUCGUCUAUUUAUAUAUCUAGUGUCUCGUCAAUUAGUACAUUUAGUAUCUCAUCUAUUUGUCCAUGUUGUAUCUCAUCUAUUUGUCAAUGUAGUGGGUCCCCAAAUUUAUCCAGGUAGUAUCUUAUCAUUUUGUCCAUGUAGGAUGAAAUCAAUUUGUCCAUGUACUAUCUCAUCUAUUUGUUCACAUUUGUAAUACAUUGGGGUAUGAGGUAUACUUAUUUGCAUGCCUUGCAUUGAAGGUUUUCAACUAUGGCAAAAAAACAACUGAAAAUAUCUCGGGUCUUAGGAAAUCCGGUAUACAGAAUGCAAGAAGUGUUGAUUGGCUUCAAAUUUAGCAGUCCUAUAUGUGCACUUUGUAGCAUUUAAAAAUUAAAUGUCUGAUCUGUAUCGCUUAUAGCACAAACAGAGGUUUAUUUUUUAUUAGGCACCAAUGACCUUUUGCUAGGACCACCUUGACAUUUUAAAAAAUCUCUCCCAAUUUUGUAAUUGUAUUUUUCAUUUUUUUAACACAGUAGCCACAAUAUGUCUAUGUCUAUAUCAUCUGUAUCUAUCUAUCAAGUUCCCCCUUUUCAGUCCUUGCAAUCUAUAGGGCAGAUGAUGUAAAGGUUAUCUGUUUCUGUGGCUCACGGUUAACAAGGAUGUCAUGAAGCCAGCACAAACCUUUUACUUUUCUCCAACUAAAGUCAGGUACCCCUAAAAAUUCCGAAAUUUAAAAUCCCAGUCUUCACCAGGAUUCGAACACGGGACCCCCUCGGUCCGGAAGCAAAGCGCUUAACCACUCAGCCACCUCGCCUCAUAUCUAUCUAUCUGUAUAUCGAUAUGUUAGUCCGUUUGUCAAUGCGUUCUUCAACUCUCUCUUUAUUUACUUAUAUUUUUCCACUCUCUCUCUCUCUCUCCCUUCUCUCUCCCUUUCGUAUUUCCUUUAUUUCGUUCUUUCUCUCCAUCUCUCUGUCCUUACUUCGACCUUCUUCUCAUCGUGUUUCACUUUAAUACGCCUACUUAGCGUAGGUCCCACCACGGAACUAAACUAGACUAAUUUACAUGGCUGAUCAAUAUCAUUAAGGUCCGCUAUUAUACAUAUAUAUUGAUUGUCAGACUGCUGCUGCUAGACAACCUUGGUGUGUGUGUGUGUGUGUGGCUUUGUGUGUGUGUGUGUGUGCAUGUGGGGGGGGGGAAUGUACCUACGAUUCUGUGCGCAGGGCCGGCCUUAUAUAAUUGGAGGGAAGUGACUUUGGGGUCCCAAUUAAAUAGAAUUUUUUUUAAAAAGCGAAAAACUAAAAUAACGCAUUUAUUUAAAAAAAAAACCUAGUGUGUUCCAAUAUUAACAUUGAAGAAAAAGUUUCGCUACUUCAGUUUAAUUAUUUUGUGUAUGUUAUUUGUAUACUGUUAUU